ACGAACGCUGGCGGCGUGCCUAAUACAUGCAAGUCGAACGCUUCUUUUUCCACCGGAGCUUGCUCCACCGGAAAAAGAGGAGUGGCGAACGGGUGAGUAACACGUGGGUAACCUGCCCAUCAGAAGGGGAUAACACUUGGAAACAGGUGCUAAUACCGUAUAACAAUCGAAACCGCAUGGUUUUGAUUUGAAAGGCGCUUUCGGGUGUCGCUGAUGGAUGGACCCGCGGUGCAUUAGCUAGUUGGUGAGGUAACGGCUCACCAAGGCGACGAUGCAUAGCCGACCUGAGAGGGUGAUCGGCCACAUUGGGACUGAGACACGGCCCAAACUCCUACGGGAGGCAGCAGUAGGGAAUCUUCGGCAAUGGACGAAAGUCUGACCGAGCAACGCCGCGUGAGUGAAGAAGGUUUUCGGAUCGUAAAACUCUGUUGUUAGAGAAGAACAAGGAUGAGAGUAACUGUUCAUCCCUUGACGGUAUCUAACCAGAAAGCCACGGCUAACUACGUGCCAGCAGCCGCGGUAAUACGUAGGUGGCAAGCGUUGUCCGGAUUUAUUGGGCGUAAAGCGAGCGCAGGCGGUUUCUUAAGUCUGAUGUGAAAGCCCCCGGCUCAACCGGGGAGGGUCAUUGGAAACUGGGAGACUUGAGUGCAGAAGAGGAGAGUGGAAUUCCAUGUGUAGCGGUGAAAUGCGUAGAUAUAUGGAGGAACACCAGUGGCGAAGGCGGCUCUCUGGUCUGUAACUGACGCUGAGGCUCGAAAGCGUGGGGAGCAAACAGGAUUAGAUACCCUGGUAGUCCACGCCGUAAACGAUGAGUGCUAAGUGUUGGAGGGUUUCCGCCCUUCAGUGCUGCAGCUAACGCAUUAAGCACUCCGCCUGGGGAGUACGACCGCAAGGUUGAAACUCAAAGGAAUUGACGGGGGCCCGCACAAGCGGUGGAGCAUGUGGUUUAAUUCGAAGCAACGCGAAGAACCUUACCAGGUCUUGACAUCCUUUGACCACUCUAGAGAUAGAGCUUCCCCUUCGGGGGCAAAGUGACAGGUGGUGCAUGGUUGUCGUCAGCUCGUGUCGUGAGAUGUUGGGUUAAGUCCCGCAACGAGCGCAACCCUUAUUGUUAGUUGCCAUCAUUUAGUUGGGCACUCUAGCAAGACUGCCGGUGACAAACCGGAGGAAGGUGGGGAUGACGUCAAAUCAUCAUGCCCCUUAUGACCUGGGCUACACACGUGCUACAAUGGGAAGUACAACGAGUCGCAAAGUCGCGAGGCUAAGCUAAUCUCUUAAAGCUUCUCUCAGUUCGGAUUGUAGGCUGCAACUCGCCUACAUGAAGUCGGAAUCGCUAGUAAUCGCGGAUCAGCACGCCGCGGUGAAUACGUUCCCGGGCCUUGUACACACCGCCCGUCACACCACGAGAGUUUGUAACACCCGAAGUCGGUGAGGUAACCUUUUGGAGCCAGCCGCCUAAGGUGGGAUAGAUGAUUGGGGUG
rnacentral:rRNA from 1 species